rnacentral:rRNA from 1 species
AAUCAACGCUGGCGGCGUGCCUCAGACAUGCAAGUCGAACGCGAAAUUUCCCUUCGGGGAGAAAGUAGAGUGGCGCACGGGUGAGUAACACGUAGGUAAUUUGCCUUUGGGUGGGGAAUAACAGUCGGAAACGGCUGCUAAUACCGCAUAAUGCAGCGGCUCGACAUCGAGACAGUUGUUAAAGCGGGGGAUCGCAAGACCUCGCGCCUGAAGAGAAGCCUGCGGCAGAUUAGCUAGUUGGUAGGGUAAUGGCCUACCAAGGCAACGAUCUGUAACCGGCCUGAGAGGGCGGUCGGUCACACUGACACUGACAUACGGGUCAGACUCCUACGGGAGGCAGCAGUCGGGAAUUUUGGGCAAUGGGCGAAAGCCUGACCCAGCAACGCCGCGUG